rnacentral:rRNA from 1 species
AUUGAACGCUGGCGGCAGGCCUAACACAUGCAAGUCGAGCGGAUGACGGGAGCUUGCUCCUGGAUUCAGCGGCGGACGGGUGAGUAAUGCCUAGGAAUCUGCCUGGUAGUGGGGGAUAACGUCCGGAAACGGGCGCUAAUACCGCAUACGUCCUGAGGGAGAAAGUGGGGGAUCUUCGGACCUCACGCUAUCAGAUGAGCCUAGGUCGGAUUAGCUAGUUGGUGGGGUAAAGGCCUACCAAGGCGACGAUCCGUAACUGGUCUGAGAGGAUGAUCAGUCACACUGGAACUGAGACACGGUCCAGACUCCUACGGGAGGCAGCAGUGGGGAAUAUUGGACAAUGGGCGAAAGCCUGAUCCAGCAAUGCCGCGUGUGUGAAGAAGGUCUUCGGAUUGUAAAGCACUUUAAGUUGGGAGGAAGGGCAGUAAGUUAAUACCUUGCUGUUUUGACGUUACCAACAGAAUAAGCACCGGCUAACUUCGUG